rnacentral:rRNA from 1 species
GGGUGAGUCGGGUCCUAAGGCGAGGCCGACAGGCGUAGUCGAAUGGAUGAACGGGUGGAUAUUCCCGUACCGACCAUGGACCGGCAAAACCGAGACGGUGAGUACUAACCUCCGCCUCGUGGUGGUUCCUUCCUUCGGGUUGGUGUCGCCGCGUGGUGUUGGGACUGUAGCCGCAGUAGGUCAGCGCAGGGGUGACACGGAAUGGGAGCCGGCCGCGGAGGUGGUUUUCCGUGGUCAAGCACGCAGCCAGUCAUGUAGGCAAAUCCGCAUGGCGUGCAUGGCGAGGUGUGAUGAUGGGAGCCGUUAUGGCUCGAUAUCCGGUUGUCCAGGCCGUCGAGAAAAGCCUCGGCGUGAGGGCCAUGGCCGCCCGUACCCCAAACCGACACUGGUGGUCAGGUAGAGAAUACCAAGGCGAUCGAGCGAAUCCUGGUCAAGGAACUCGGCAAAUCACUCCCGUGCCUUCGGUAUAAGGGAGACCCACUGGGGUGAAGGACCUUGCGUCCGGAGCUUUGGUGGGUGGCACAGACCAGGGGGUAGCGACUGUUUACCAAAAACACAGGUGCAUGCGAAGGCGAAAGCCGCUGUAUAUGCACUGACGCCUGCCCGGUGCCGGAAGGUUAAGAGGAUCCGUCAAUCCUUCGGGAUGAAGCGGUGAAUUCAAGCCCCGGUAAACGGCGGUGGUAACUAUAACCAUCCUAAGGUAGCGAAAUUCCUUGUCGGGUAAGUUCCGACCUGCACGAAUGGCGUAACGACUUCCCCACUGUCUCGACCAGGAGCUCGGCGAAAUUGCAGUACGAGUAAAGAUGCUCGUUAAGCGCAGAAGGACGAAAAGACCCCGGGACCUUUACUAUACCUUGGUAUUGGCGUUAGGCGCGGAUUGUGUAGCAUAGGCGGGAGGCUUCGAAGCGGGUGCGCCAGCAUUCGUGGAGCCGCAAGGUGAAAUACCGCUCUGUUCUCGUUUGACGUCUAACCUCGACAAGUCAUCCUUGUCAGGGACAGUGCCUGGCGGGUAGUUCAACUGGGGCGGUUGCCUCCCAAAGAGUAACGGAGGCGCUCAAAGGUCCGCUCAGCCCGGUUGGCAAUCGGGUGUCGAGUGUAAUCGCACAAGCGGGCUUGACUGCGAGGACGACGGUCCGAGCAGGGACGAAAGUCGGAGAUAGUGAUCCGGUGCCGGCGCACGGGCGCGGCAUCGCUCAACGGAUAAAAGGUACCCCGGGGAUAACAGGCUGAUCAUUCCCAAGAGUCCAUAUCGACGGGAUGGUUUGGCACCUCGAUGUCGGCUCGUCGCAUCCUGGGGCUGGAGCAGGUCCCAAGGGUUCGGCUGUUCGCCGAUUAAAGCGGCACGCGAGCUGGGUUCAGAACGUCGUGAGACAGUUUGGUCUCUAUCCUCUGCGCUCGUUGGAAUCCUGAGGAGGCCUGCCCAUAGUACGAGAGGACCUGGGUGGACGAACCUCUGGUAUGCCGGUUGUCGCGCCAGCGGCACGGCCGGUUGGCUACGUUCGGGAGGGAUAACCGCUGAAAGCAUCUAAGCGGGAAGCCUGCUCCAAGAUUAGGAUUCCGUACGGUCUUGAACCGUUGUAGCCCGCAUGUUGAACACGUGUUUGAUAGGCCGGAGGUGGAAGCCCCGUGAGGGGUGGAGCCGACCGGUACUAACGGGCGACGGCGACAUAA